rnacentral:lncRNA from 1 species
UUUGUCAGGAAUUAUAUCAAGCUCAUACUUGCUCUCGAAGAACUUUGAGAACCCGAAGCUCUGUUGAGAGCGGUCAUCGGCCCCUCUGCCUCUGCCUCGCUCCCUUUCGAGCGCGCGAGGGGCAGUCUUAAUGUGCUUCGUCGGCGACAGCAGGGGAACAGCCAUUUGACGAACGCCGGAGCAGCAACAAACGCGAAAUAGUCAAAUCUAAGAGAGAAGAAAGAGAUUCAAUUUUUGAGUGCGUCCGGUAGAGAGGAAAGAGGUUUGCUCUUCGUUCUUCUUCUUCAGACAACGAAAGCACCAAGAGGAAAGAGAAUAUCAGACAAAGAAAUAAAUGUUUGCAGAGCAGGAGAGAGAGCGAGCGUAGGGGGCUAGUGUGUGCAGGCUAGUGAGAGAGAAAUGAAAUUUUUUUUGUGUAUAAAUUCGUUUGCUUGCGAGCCGGCCCCACACCUCCACGGGUCGCUUCCUGAGUGGUCGGAGACCACGCUGACCUGGUGGUCCGGGACCAC